UUAUUGUCGGCCUCCUCCAUGCAGCACCACCCACAGCAGCAUCCUGCCCCACCUGGCACUGCAACCCUAAUCUUGGCCCUGUGUGAAGGGGAGGGCCGGUGGGAAGGUUGGAGAGCAAGGCCACCUGACCGGUGCUGGAACUCCAUGUGCCAAAUGGCAAUGCCCAGAACAGGGCACUGUGCCCAGCCCCAUGGACACAGGAGAUGCUACUACCAGGGCUGGACACAGUGUAUCGCUUGCAGUUGGAAGGAACCACCCAGGUCUUUAUAAGCAAGCACCCUUAUCCAUAAGAAGUUUUACAGUUGAAUUCCCUGCACUUGAGAGGUGAUGCAGCAGUGCUGAUGGCAAUAAUAAAAGGAAUCAAGUCUCCCUUUCUGGUGGAUAAUGUUUCGUUCUAAAUCGAUCCCAGGGUGUUUUCUAAUGCUUGAAUUAGAAUUGUGUGUGUUUUCAAACCACAUUAAAACAGCUCCACUUGUUCAUAGAA